rnacentral:rRNA from 1 species
UACGUAGGGUCCGAGCGUUGUCCGGAAUUACUGGGCGUAAAGAGCUCGUAGGUGGUUUGUCGCGUUGUUCGUGAAAACUCACAGCUCAACUGUGGGCGUGCGGGCGAUACGGGCAGACGUUGAGUACUGCAGGGGAGACUGGAAUUCUGGUGUAGCGGUGGAAUGCGCAGAUAUCAGGAGGAACACCGGUGGCGAAAGCGACUUCCUGGUCCAAAUACUGACGUUCGAUGUGCGAAAGCGUGGGGAGCAAACAGG